rnacentral:pre_miRNA from 1 species
UGGGACACGAGGUGAUGACCUAUGAAUUGACAGCCAGUGGCUGAACAUCUGCCUGUCAGUUCUGUAGGCCACUGCUGCGUUUUCCCC